GACGAACGCUGGCGGCGUGCUUAACACAUGCAAGUCGAACGGAAAGGCCCUGCUUUUGUGGGGUGCUCGAGUGGCGAACGGGUGAGUAACACGUGAGUAACCUGCCCUUGACUUUGGGAUAACUUCAGGAAACUGGGGCUAAUACCGGAUAGGAGCUCCUGCUGCAUGGUGGGGGUUGGAAAGUUUCGGCGGUUGGGGAUGGACUCGCGGCUUAUCAGCUUGUUGGUGGGGUAGUGGCUUACCAAGGCUUUGACGGGUAGCCGGCCUGAGAAGGUGACCGGCCACAUUGGGACUGAGAUACGGCCCAGACUCCUACGGGAGGCAGCAGUGGGGAAUAUUGCACAAUGGGCGGAAGCCUGAUGCAGCAACGCCGCGUGCGGGAUGACGGCCUUCGGGUUGUAAACCGCUUUCGCCUGCGACGAAGCGUGAGUGACGGUAAUGGGUAAAGAAGCACCGGCUAACUACGUG
rnacentral:rRNA from 1 species